rnacentral:tRNA from 1 species
GCCUGGGUGGCUCAGUCGGUUGAGUGUAUGACUCUGGCUCAGAUCAUGAUCUUGCGGUUCGUGAGUUCGAGCCCCACUUCGGGCU